rnacentral:rRNA from 1 species
GGCCUGGCUGGGCGGUCUUGCCGAAAGGUAAGCACUGCUCUGGUCGGGCCUUUCCUUCUGGGGAACCUGCGUGCUCUUAAUUGAGUGCGCAGGGGAUCCAGGACUUUUACUUUGAAAAAAUUAGAGUGUUCAAAGCAGGCUUUUACGCUUGAAUACAUUAGCAUGGAAUAAUGGAAUAGG